CAACACAGAUACCCAGCCAAGGAGAAUCAGGUGAAUAGGUGAUCCUCGUGCUUGUCCAAACUCAACUCCUAAAGCCUCUCAUGCCGAUUGAGACUCGAAUGCUCUUAUUAGCAAUGUCUCUGGUAGACAUUAGUGAUUAGGAACAAGAGCUUGUAGUGUUUACAGAAUGUGUGAUAAUUUCUUUCACAUUUGCCUCAUCUAGACCGAGCCUCUCGGUGGCACAUACAUAGUUCUACCUCCAUUAUAAAUGUAAGCAUUUAUAGUUUGUUUAGUGGAGAUUAAGGCUGAGAAGAAAAGACUAUGGUUC
rnacentral:lncRNA from 1 species